UACGGGGGGGGUAAGCGUUGUUCGGAAUCACUGGGCGUAAAGCGCACGUAGGCGGAUGUGUCAGUCAGGGGUGAAAUCCCGGAGCUCAACUUCGGAACUGCCUUUGAUACAGCACGUCUUGAGUCCGGAAGAGGUGGGUGGAAUUCCUAGUGUAGAGGUGAAAUUCGUAGAUAUUAGGAAGAACACCGGUGGCGAAGGCGGCCCACUGGUCCGGUACUGACGCUGAGGUGCGAAAGCGUGGGGAGCAAACAGG
rnacentral:rRNA from 1 species